UACAGGGGGUGCAAACGUUGCUCGGAAUUAUUGGGCGUAAAGCGCGCGUAGGCGGCUACCUAAGUCGGAUGUGAAAGCCCCUGGCUUAACUGGGGAAGUGCACCCGAAACUGGGUAGCUAGAGUGCAAAAGAGGGUCGCGGAAUUCCCGGUGUAGAGGUGAAAUUCGUAGAUAUCGGGAGGAACACCGGUGGCGAAGGCGGCGACCUGGGUCGAUACUGACGCUGAUGCGCGAAAGCGUGGGGAGCAAACAGG
rnacentral:rRNA from 1 species